rnacentral:lncRNA from 1 species
CAUGCUAACACAAUUUAAUACACAAAAUAAUUUACCUAUCAAAAAUGGGAAACCAACCUUAAGUGAAUUUUAAAAAAUUAACAAAACAGGCAGUGAUUUUUUUACCAGGCAAUUAAACCAAAACGUUCACAACCAAAGAAACAAAACUUUUCUAGUGGUUCAGUUUUCACCAAUAAUUAUUUUAAAGCAUUUUUAACAUCAUUGUUGAAAGGCUAGUGAUACCCCUGAUAAACUACAUAGACCACUGGACUGCUGAUGGAUGAACAAGGGGAAUAAUUACUUUGAUAAGUGAUUGUGGUAAAUACAUGUGUAUCUGAUCAUAUGAAUAAAAAAAAAAUGAGUGGUGUUCAUGUAAAUAACAAUCAAUCAAAAGAUAACUUAUUUGAUAAAAAUUGCACUGUGAGUAAAAUUUUAAAUCUUAUCUGUAUUUCUGCCAAUUCCAUCGUCAAUGGUCCAAUUAUUUGUAACAACAUGGUGCAAAUGAAGUUAAUGUUUGAGGUAUUUUUUAUUAUGAAUAUUUAAGAGUAUUGUAUUAAAAUAGGAAUAACAGUAAUAUAUAUGAAAAGUUGCCACUGUAAAUUUGGGAAUUGAUGGUUGCAAAUAUCUGUUCAAGCUCUGCUCUGUGCAUAUCAAAUCACAAACUGAAGGUAAUAAAUCUUCAAAUAUUGUUCUGUUAUUUCGUAAGUAUCAAGUUAUGUGUCCAUUGUCAGAAAUGUCUAAUCAUAUUGUCUACAUUUGAAGAAGAUUUUUUUUUACAAUAAAUUAUAAAUAACAAAUA